ACAUCAGGGUCCAUGAAACUUAGAACUAAUACUAUUACUCAUGCAAAACACUGGAUCAUUGCAAAAGCUUCCAAACCUCUGGCUCUGCUUCUGAACCAUCCAGAACGAAGAAACAUGUUCCAAGGACAACAAGUCCAUUAUCAAUACAGCAUCCUGAAAGAAAACAGGAAACAAAAUAUUAUAGUACUUCAAUGUAAGCAUGCCAAGACAAGACAGUAUGUAAGUAAACCCUUUGGUCCCAUGUCACUUGUGGCUGUUCUGCAGAUUCCUAAUCUGUCCGCAGCGCUGAUUUUGGCCGGUGAUGAGUUCUGGAAGUGGGAUAUGGCUGGUGCAAGAGGCAUCUCUGCCCUUGCAGCAGUGGUGCAGGGUGUGGAGG
rnacentral:misc_RNA from 1 species